AAUACGUAGGGGGCGAGCGUUGUCCGGAUUUAUUGGGCGUAAAGAGCUCGUAGGCGGUUGGGCAAGUCACGUGUGAAAUCUCCACGCUCAACGUGGAGGCGCCACGUGAGACUGCCCUGACUAGAGUCCGGUAGGGGAGCGUGGAAUUCCCGGUGUAGCGGUGAAAUGCGCAGAGAUCGGGAGGAACACCCGUAGCGAAGGCGGCGCUCUGGGCCGGUACUGACGCUGAGGAGCGAAAGCGUGGGGAGCAAACA
rnacentral:rRNA from 1 species